rnacentral:lncRNA from 1 species
GUGAGGAAGAGGGAGGGGUCCUAGAUGGGGUGGGGCCUCAGCCUCCUUUGGUGGAUGGAGGGGGCCCAAGGGCCGGACAGGCUGUGGGAGAAGGUGAUGGGGUGACCACUGGCAGGCUUACGUCAGGGUGUCUGCGGGCUUCUGGCAGCAAGUCCCGGAAGUGGCUGGAAAGAGCUCAGCAGCCUCAGGGGCUCUCCCAGCAGGAUCUUCAAGCCUAGACUUCUGUUUGGAGAAGGACCACCUCAAGCAGCCCCAGCCUUCCUGAUCUCCCAACACCAGGGGUUGCCUAGGAGCCACGUGGAGCCCUACCAGGAAACCAACCGAAGCUUCCAGAGGUCAAGGACCUUGUCCCGCUCCUCUACGGGGUGGGUAACGCUGCUGUGUGACCUGGGCUCCGCAUAUAAACCCCCAGGUCCUCACGCAGGAGGCAGCUGGGAACCACCCACGCUCAUCUGGUGUCUCUCACGCCUCCACUGGGGGUCCCAACAUCAGAGCCAAGGCACACAGUGAAGCCGGUGUUCCGGAGAGCCCAGCUGUCCCCACCCCACCCCGGCUCCUCAGUUCCUCCAGCCGAGACCUCCCCACCUGCCUCCAAGCAGGAGGGACUAAGGCUAGACUCUGAGGACUUGAGAGGCUCAGUCUGGGAGCCUGGAGGCGGAGCCCUGGGGUGCCAGGAGGGGCUGAGCUGCCGAUGCUGAAGAAACUCUGGGCUGGGAAGGGCCCUCUGGGCAGAUGGCAAAUGCUGCCGGCUUUACCUGCGAAGUAAAUCCAGAAACCAGACCCACCCCGGCCAUCUCUCAGCCUGAAAUGGCCCCUUCUCCCACCUUGCCCCCAACUCCUCAAAGUCUCUUCUUGACAUAAUAACCCAAGGAAGCUGUCCACAUGGAGGUCACACCCUCUCACUCUGCUCAAAGCCCCCCAGGACUUCCCAUCUCAUCUGGAAUAAAAAGCCUAAAGUCAUUGUCAUAGGCCCCAAGGCCCUGGAUGGCCCCAAUGGCAGUUACCAUUCUAACUGCCACACCCAAAUCCCAACGUUUAAAAACACAUGUCUAAUAUCGACAUGUAUAUUGUGUCCAUUGUUUAUUGUCUGCGCCUGUAGUCCCACUAUCUAGACAGAACAAUGCUGGCCGCAGAACUAGUGUUUUAUAUGUAUUUGUGGAAUGAAUGGAUGAGGGCGCACACACUGGAAAAAUCACUUAACCCCUUUGAGCCCAUUUCUUCAUGGGGACAAUAAGGACCAACCCCUAGAAAUGGAAAAAGGACAAAAUCUCAGCCCAG